rnacentral:rRNA from 1 species
UACAGAGGGUGCAAGCGUUAAUCGGAAUUACUGGGCGUAAAGCGCGCGUAGGUGGUUUGUUAAGUUGAAUGUGAAAUCCCCGGGCUCAACCUGGGAACUGCAUGCAAAACUGGCAAGCUAGAGUAUGGUAGAGGGUGGUGGAAUUUCCUGUGUAGCGGUGAAAUGCGUAGAUAUAGGAAGGAACACCAGUGGCGAAGGCGACCACCUGGACUGAUACUGACACUGAGGUGCGAAAAGCUGGGGAGCAAACAGG